AACAAGUACCGUGAGGGAAAGGUGAAAAGAACCCCGGAAGGGGAGUGAAAUAGUUCUUGAAACCGUGUGCUUACAAGAAGUUCGAGGCCGUUAAUGGCUGAGAGCGUGCUUUUUGUAGAAUGAACCGGAGAGUUACGAUUGCGUGCAAGGUUAAGGUGCAAAGACUGGAGCCGUAGCGAAAGCGAGUCUUAAUAGGGCGAAUCAGUACGUAGUUGUAGACCCGAAACCGAGUGACCUAUCCAUGGUCAGGUUGAAGGUGGGGUAAUACCUACUGGAGGACCGAACAAGUGGGUGUUAAAAAACCCUUUGAUGAACUGUGGAUAGCGGUGAAAUUCCAAUCGAACUCGGAGAUAGCUGGUUCUAUCCGAAAUACAUUUAGGUGUAGCCUUGCAAUUAGCUUACUGGAGGUAGAGCACUAUUUGGUCUAGGGGCCCUUCAAGGGUUACCAAAAUCAGAUAAACUCCGAAUGCCAGCUAAGUAUGUGCAGGAGUCAGACGGUGAGUGAUAAGAUCCAUCGUCGAAAGGGGAACAGCCCAGAUCACCAGUUAAGGUCCCUAAAUAUAUGCUAAGUGGAAAACGUUGUGAAGGUGCAUAGACAACUAGGAGGUUGGCUCAGAAGCAGCCACCCUUUAAAGAGUGCGUAAUAGCUCACUAGUCGAGUGCUCUUGCGCGGAUAAUGUACCGGGGCUAAGCAUAUUACCGAAACUGUGGAUGCGUAAGCAUGGUAGGAUAGCGUAAUUAACGCGAUGAAGGAUGACCGUAAGGACAUGUUGGAGCGUUAACUAGUGAGAAUUCCGGUAUGAGUAGCGAAAGAUAGGUGAGAAUCCUAUCCACCGAAUGAGUAAGGUUUCCCCCGGAAGGCUCGUCCGCGGGGGGUUAGUCGGGACCUAAGGCGAGGCUGAAAAGCGUAGUCGAUGGACAACAGGUUGAUAUUCCUGUACCGAUAUUUAAUUGCCGAAGGAAGGACGCAGAAGGAUAACACAGGCCACUAUUGGAUGUGGUUUUAAACAGUUAGUCUUCAUAAGAGUCAAAUGCUUUUAUGUUUAAGGAUAAGCUGUGAAUGUACCAAGUUUACUUGGAAAUUGUGUGAUUUCACGCUGCUGAAAAAAGUUUCGUAGGAAGAAAAUAUUGCCCGUACCGCAAACCGACACAGGUACUCGAGUGGAGAACACUAAGGUGAGCGAGUGAACUAUUGUUAAGGAACUCUGCAAAAUGAGUCCGUAACUUCGGAAGAAGGACUGCUGGUUUUAUACCAGCCGCAGC
rnacentral:rRNA from 1 species